rnacentral:rRNA from 1 species
GAUGAACGCUGGCGGCGUGCCUAAUACAUGCAAGUCGAGCGAACAGACGAGGAGCUUGCUCCUUUGACGUUAGCGGCGGACGGGUGAGUAACACGUAGGUCACCUACCUAUAAGACUGGGAUAACUUCGGGAAACCGGAGCUAAUACCGGCUAAUAUUUCGAACCGCAUGGUUCAAUAGUGAAAGAUGGCUUUGCUAUCACUUAUAGAUGGACCUGCGCCGUAUUAGCUAGUUGGUAAGGUAACGGCUUACCAAGGCAACGAUACGUAGCCGACCUGAGAGGGUGAUCGGCCACACUGGAACUGAGACACGGUCCAGACUCCUACGGGAGGCAGCAGUAGGGAAUCUUCCGCAAUGGGCGAAAGCCUGACGGAGCAACGCCGCGUGAGUGAUGAAGGUCUUCGGAUCGUAAAACUCUGUUAUUAGGGAAGAACAAACGUGUAAGUAACUGUGCACGUCUUGACGGUACCUAAUCAGAAAGCAACGGCUAACUACGUG